AAUGAACGCUGGCGGCAGGCCUAACACAUGCAAGUCGAGCGGCAGCGGGAAAGUAGCUUGCUACUUUUGCCGGCGAGCGGCGGACGGGUGAGUAAUGCCUGGGGAUCUACCCAGUCGAGGGGGAUAACUACUGGAAACGGUAGCUAAUACCGCAUACGCCCUACGGGGGGAAAGCAGGGGACCUUCGGGCCUUGCGCGAUUGGAUGAACCCAGGUGGGAUUAGCUAGUUGGUGAGGUAAUGGCUCACCAAGGCGACGAUUCCUAGCUGGUCUGAGAGGAUGAUCAGCCACACUGGAACUGAGACACGGUCCAGACUCCUACGGGAGGCAGCAGUGGGGAAUAUUGCACAAUGGGGGAAACCCUGAUGCAGCCAUGCCGCGUGUGUGAAGAAGGCCUUCGGGUUGUAAAGCACUUUCAGCGAGGAGGAAAGGUUGGUAGCUAAUAACUGCCAGCUGUGACGUUACUCGCAGAAGAAGCACCGGCUAACUCCGUGCCAGCCGCCGCAGUAA
rnacentral:rRNA from 1 species